rnacentral:rRNA from 1 species
UUGGUGAACUACGGUUGAAUAGGGUAGAAGCCAGGGGAAACUCUGGUGGAGGCUCGAAGCGAUACUGACGUGCAAAUCGUUCGUCAAAUUUGACUGUAGGGGCGAAAGACUAAUCGAACCAUCUAGUAGCUGGUUCCCUCUGAAAUUUCUCUCAGGAUAGCAGGAACAGAUUAUGCAGUUUUAUCAGGUAAAGCUAAUGAUUAGUGGAAUCGGGGGUCUAGUAUCCUUGACCAAUUCUCAAAACUUUAAAUUGGUAAGAACUACGAGUUAUCUUAAUUGAACUCGGAGGUAGAAUGCAUUGUUCUUAGUGGGCCAUUUUUGGUAAGCAGAACUGGCGAUGAGGGAUGAACCUAACGUUGAGAUAAGGUGCCAAAAUUCACGCUCAUGAGAUACCAUAAAAGGUGUUGGUUAGUAUAAACAGCCGGACUGUGGCCAUGGAAGUCGGCACCAGCUAAGGAGUGUGUAACAACUCACCAGCCGAAUUAACCAGCCCUGAAAAUUGAUGGCGCU